AGUACCUUUAAUUCAGUCCCGUGAGACUGGCAAGGUAACGUGAACCGGAUAAAGGAUCCUCCGCCCCUGCGGAGCGGCUUGUCACAGCCGCACCCGGGCGAUUGGCAUCAUCCUCUAACCUGUUGACUCCUUGCGGCCUCCGCAAGGAGUUUUUUGCC
rfam:Paenibacillus darwinianus strain Br genomic scaffold scaffold3, whole genome shotgun sequence.